GAGAAGAUGCAAAUGAGCGGAAGGAACUGGAAGCUACUGCAAACGAAGGAUGUCCCCAUUCUAGAAUUAAUUUUAGACAUCCUCCUAGUCUCUCCUAGACAUCCUCAUAAAAAUGGAAGAAGAGUGGAAUGCAGGGCAGACUGAACCAAAGGAACAAGAAAGGAGGACAACUGAGGGCUGUUCGGCAAAUCUCCUGGCGUUUCCUCACAUUGCUAGCCAUUUUGAGAGGGAUCAGUGUCAAUCUGCCUCUUACCUCCAUACUUCUCAAAUGCAGGUGAGGUGGUGACUGUCCUGAAUCAGUGCUUGGAUGCAGUAAUGGAUUGGAUGAGGGUGAACAAGUUGAGAUGCAAACAAGACAAGAUAGAAGUACUACUGGUUGGUGGUUCAUCUGCCCGGGAGAAUGAUGUUCAGCCUGCUAUAAAUGGGGUUGCACACCACCCCCACCCCUGAAGGACCAGGUUCACAGUCUGGGGGCGUUCAUUGAUCCAGUACUGAUAAAUAAAUAAAUAUAAAUAAAUAAAUAUAUGUGGAAGCCCCAGCUCCCCAUAUCAGCAAUGGAGAUCACUGAUGCCCUGUUUCUCUGGGUAUGCAAGUUGCAGAGCCCAAAGGAGACUCUAGUCAUCUGGGAGGCACAAGGUAGGUGUGUGCUCUCCCUCCAGCUCAUCCCCCUAUGGCUGUGAGAACAAGACCCAUAUGUAUCUAUAUUAAUAGAGUACCAGCCUCUGUUAUCAGAUGUGCAAUCCAGCCAGAGUCAAGUAUCUUUAUAAUUAAUUCUCUUAGCCAGCCAGCAUGGAGAUGUGGCAAGACAAUGUGUGCCGACGAGGGAGGCACCUGAUUGGCUGAGCUCUGUUUGGUCGGUGGAGGCACCUGAUUGGCUGGGCGUUGGCCCGGCUGUUGUGAGGAGGGGCUGUCUCAGCUGCAGUCUGGGCUGGGAGGCGGGAGGCAGUGGGAAGGACUGGCCCUGGCCUGGAGCCAGAGGGGGUGAGUGGGACAUGUGUGCCCAGGAUUUGGCAGCAGAAUUCUCAGGACAGGCUGUGAGAGUUCUGAAGUGAGGACUGAGGAGGAGAGGGGGAAGAAAGUGCCAGCAGUG